UCUAGGUUCUAUUUCUCCUACGCUGCAAAUCCGAAAAAUAGCCGCUGCCCUUCUUUAUGCAAGCCUCUGUCUGCUGCUGAAAUAACCAAAGUUGAUUGGAACGCUUGAUUCGAGCUCUCUCAUUUUUAUACGAUCCACAAGUAAUGGCUUCGGUUGUGAAAGUGUUUGAAUAUCUUAAAAUCCAUUUGGAAGAGUUAAAAAAGCCACCUAAGAGCUUUUAUAUCAAGGUUUACUAGAGCUGGUGAUUUGGAAAUGUGUAUGAAGGAUAGGCCGGCCGCUCACUCUAAGGGCCGAAACAGGGUUGCUAUUAAGCGUAUUGAAUUAUGAAUUUGAGCAAUGAGACCCUGAGUUUUGGAAGGAGAUCAUGAUGCUUUCCCGUUACAUUCCUUAAAAUUUUAUAUCUUCAUCUCUCUUCUUGGAUUUUGUGACGAGGAUGGUGAGAAGAUCCUUGUCCCAGAAACUCCUGCAGAUCAGAUAAAUAAGGGAACAAUCUCUGCCGGAGUCUAUGUGAGUAUGCAAAAAACCUCAACAACCUCCUCCUCCUCUAUUGAUCAGGAGUUUAUUACAGCUAUUGAAGUCGCAAUGAAGGAGUUGGUAGAUAAGGGCUAUUUGAAUUAUGUUGAUCUUCAAGAUGCUGAACAGUAUCUCUACACGUCCAAGUUAGCUGCUAAAACUUUCUUGGGCGAGCAUGACCUGAAGAAGAGGCGUGACGUGAUUAAAGAAUCGAAUGCGGCGUGGCGGGAGUACGAGUAUGCAUCUAACGGAAUCCGAAACCAUUAACGCCUCAAGAUAUGCCGAUCGGUACUUUCAGAUUUGUUGUCUCAUGAGGUCAUGGAGAUCAACCUGUGCUCAAUAUCAUAGUACAGAGGUCCUUUGGGAACGACGUGCCAACCACCGUAACACUGGGCGUUGUGGCCAAGGUCGACUACUCGACCGCCGCCAGCCCCUUGGCUCUCUCAGAUGCGCGGAAACCCGACCUCCACCCGCCCGGAGACAUGACAGUGGAAUAAUCGGUAAAACCUCGCCUCCAUCCAAAACGAACCAGCGCCACCCGUAUUCACCCUUCACCCGAAUGCCGCAGAAAUAAUGGGGAGAGUGGGAAUCGAACCUGGGUCACAAGGAACAACAAGUCUUUCCCUAACUACUCCACCACUACCUCAUAUGUGAGCCAAGAAACCAUGAAACGGUGAAUGGCUCAGAAAUGGUUUAACCGAGUGUAUCAGAUGGUUCAACCGGAUGUAUCAGGCGGUAUAACCAGUACAACCGGCCGGUUUGAACCGGUUUUUAAAAACAUUGUGAAAAUGUUUAAUUCCAACUAUGAUAGCCUAAACAAGUAAUGGCAGGAUGAUUGCCAUAUAUUUUAAUUUUUGUUCUUGGUGAUGUUAGUAUUAUCAAGUCAUUUUAAGACAAUAUAUAUUUUAAUUUUUGUUGUUGGUGACAAAAUCAUCACCUAUCUGUUGCCUGUUUACCGGUCGU